AUCUUUAAUAUAAAAUAAAUAUGGUUUAAAAAAGAUUGCAUUCUACCUUCUACUUUUAUUUAUAAUUUAUGUAUAUUUGUGGCUUUAAAGAGAUGAAAAACAAAUAAUUAGUCGAUUUAAUUAAAAAGCUAUAAUUUAUUGACUAAUUAGAUGCGAUAUUAUGAUUGUGACAGCUUUCAAGACAAUGUAAUAGAAAUAAAGACCUUCAAGAAUGACAUGUUCUUUUUUGAAUA
rnacentral:lncRNA from 1 species